rnacentral:rRNA from 1 species
AGUGAACGCUGGCGGUAGGCCUAACACAUGCAAGUCGAACGGCAGCACAGUAAUAGCUUGCUCUUACGGGUGGCGAGUCGCGGACGGGUCAGGAAUACAUCGUAAUCUACUCUUUCGUGGGGCAUAACGUAGGGAAACUUACGCUCAUACCGCAUCUCCCCUACCGGUGAAAGCAGGGGAUCUUCGGACCUUGCGCGAUUGAAUGCGCCGCUGUGGGAUUUGCUAGUUGGGGGGUUAAAUACCCACCAAGGCGACGAUCCGCAGCCGGUCUGAGAGAAUGGUCGGCCACACGGGAACUGAAACGCGGACCUGACGCCUACGGGAGGCAGCAGAGGGGAAUAGUGGGCAAUAGGCGGAAACCUGAUACAACGAGACCGCGUGGGUGAAAGAAGCCUUCGGGUUGUGAAGACGUUUUGUUGGGAAAGAAAAGCAGCAGGUUGAUACCACGCUGUUCUGACGGUACCCAGAGAAUAAGCACCGGCUAACUUCGUG